UAUUCUUAAUGUUUGUAAGGUAUGAAGAGAAAAUGUGUCUGAUGACACCUGAAGUCUUGCCAGCUGUGAAUAAUUCCAGUUAAGGUGCUAUGGAUAUUAUUUGGUAACAACAUAUAUUAUAGAAAUUGCAAUUCUUUGUAUUGAUUAUUAAACCAAAUGUGAAGAUUGGGGAAACGUGGAGAGGAAAAAUAAUAAUCAGAUCAUCCCUUUUAUUUUCAGGAAUGCACCAUAUGUCCUCAUCUGAAAGUCUCUGCAGGAUGAUGGUCUGACUCACGUACCCAGGGAUGACCUUCUGUGAAUGGUCUGCCUAGGUGUUCUGGUGGAUUCCUCCACAACUCCUUUUGAUAUUAUGUAGAUAUAAUACCUUUUAUCCUGACUUCAACAAGCCAAGAACAAUCUCCACUAUGAAAGAUGAAAAUUUAACGUUGACUACCUUUCCUCCCUUCUUCUUCUCCCAGUGUUUGAUAUUUAUGUUAUUAUUAGUUUAUUGAUUAUAUAUGUAAUUUUCAGUAACAGACUUAAAUUUCUAUUUCUUGCUCCACCUACUUUCAA